rnacentral:rRNA from 1 species
GACGAACGCUGGCGGCGUGCUUAACACAUGCAAGUCGAACGGUGAAGGGACCGGUUUUUGCUGGUUCUGGAUGAGUGGCGACCGGGUGAGUAACACGUGAGUAACCUGCCCCCUUCUUCUGGAUAACCGCAUGAAAGUGUGGCUAAUACGGGAUAUUCUGCGCCUGCUGCAUGGUGGGUGUGGGAAAGAUAUUGUUUCGGUGGGGGAUGGGCUCGCGGCCUAUCAGCUUGUUGGUGGGGUGAUGGCCUACCAAGGCGGUGACGGGUAGCCGGCCUGAGAGGGUGGACGGUCACACUGGGACUGAGACACGGCCCAGACUCCUACGGGAGGCAGCAGUGGGGAAUAUUGCACAAUGGGCGCAAGCCUGAUGCAGCGACGCCGCGUGAGGGAUGGAGGCCUUCGGGUUGUAAACCUCUUUCGCCAGUGAAGCAGGCCUGUCCCUUUUGUGGGUGGGUUGACGGUAGCUGGAUAAGAAGCGCCGGCUAACUACGUG